AGUCUUCUCUGCAGACACCAGCCUGGUGUCCUCCUUCAUCCCAGGCUGCCAGGCUAGGCAGGGGACAGCGGCUGCCCUGGUCCUCACAGCCCUGGCUACGGGGCUGGUGACAGCCAGAUCCUCAUGCUUCUGCGACCUGAGCGCUGCCUUCAGACACCUCUCUGCUGGCGUGUUCCUGGGUCCAUGAUGGAAGAAGGAAAAGUAUUUUUAAAAGACAAUCUGAAGCUCAUACUGUGACUGCAACAUAAAAUGUGUUCACCUGAGGAGACUGCUUUCAUCGCCAGUGUGUCACAGGUCUCUGAUGGUUCUGGUUUCCUGGGCACCUAGAAUAAGUGUGUCACCAUUUGUCCUGAAGCUGACUUCUCUGAGCUGGAUGGCACCCUGGACAUCAACCAGCCCUUCACCUUCACGUCACACAGGAGGGACACUGGUCCAUAGAGAGGAUGCCUGCUCUGGUCACCAGCUGGAGAGUGGCAGACCUUGGGUACCUGACCUUUGGACUCUGCCACACAGAGCACUUCCUCAGUCCCUCCUGCUGCCCCUGGCAGGGUGGAGCUGGCAGGGCAGCUGAUCCAGGACCGUCCACUUCCAAGCCAGCAGGAGGAUGGAAAAGCAGAAUGGAGGGGAAACAACCUCCUUUGCAGGGCGUGACUCGGAAGUUGGACACAUCAUUUCCAGCCACAUUCCAUGGACCAGAAUUAGCCCUGUGACCAACUCUGGCUGCCAGAAAAUCUGGGAAAUACAGUCUCUGCUUGGGCGAUCAGGCAGGCAGUUAUAUCUUUGGGAACAUCUCUCACCCCCUGGGAACACCUGAGCAGAAACUGAAGGACAUUUAACAGAUUCUCCUUUGUGUCUAAUAAGAAUUGCCCCCAUCAGUCGGGGCUGUCCUAGGUGCUGGGUACAUAGGUCAUCUAUACACAACCCAGCAAUGGAGAGCACACCAUUCCCAGGCUGCAGAUGCAGAAACUGUGGCUCGGAGAGUUAAGCGUCUUGUUCAGAUUCAGUCAGCUGGUAGAUGGCAGGUCUGGGAUUGAGACCCAGGCCUGGCUGGUCCUGCCAGGACACAGUAUCACAGCUUUGACUGGGAGCUUCUUUUUGUU
rnacentral:lncRNA from 1 species